rnacentral:tRNA from 1 species
GCCGAAGUGGCGGAACUGGCAGACGCGCGUGACUCAAAAUCACGUAGGCCUGGCCUGUGUGGGUUCGAAUCCCACCUUCGGCA